rnacentral:rRNA from 1 species
ACUUAAAUUGAAGAGUUUGAUCAUGGCUCAGAUUGAACGCUGGCGGCAGGCCUAACACAUGCAAGUCGAGCGGUAGCACAGAGAGCUUGCUCUCGGGUGACGAGCGGCGGACGGGUGAGUAAUGUCUGGGAAACUGCCUGAUGGAGGGGGAUAACUACUGGAAACGGUAGCUAAUACCGCAUAAUGUCGCAAGACCAAAGUGGGGGACCUUCGGGCCUCAUGCCAUCAGAUGUGCCCAGAUGGGAUUAGCUAGUAGGUGGGGUAACGGCUCACCUAGGCGACGAUCCCUAGCUGGUCUGAGAGGAUGACCAGCCACACUGGAACUGAGACACGGUCCAGACU